rnacentral:tRNA from 2 species
UGGGACGUCGUCCAAUGGUAGGACAUCAGAAUUUGGGUCUGACUAUCAUGGUUCGAAUCCAUGCGUCCCAG